CGGGAUAUAGAGGGUGAGAAUCUAGAUUAUAUUUAUUGCAAAUAUAUUUUUUUUAAUUUAUUUUCAUAUAUUUAAACAUAUUUUCUUAUAUAACUAUCAGUAUCUUACCUUGUACACACUGCAACAUUACAGCAACAACCAAUACUCCAAGCAAUAAUUGUGUGUUCAUCUUGCGCUGCCUGUCGGGCUUCUUGUAAGACGAAUCUGAUUGUACUGCUACAGUCGCGUACUUUAGUUAAGACGAGUAUGUUUUACAACGAAAUGGUUUCUUUUUAUAUAAAUACUUCCUAGUUGGGACAAAUCGAUUAAAUGUAGGAUUUAGAUACAACCAGUAACAAAACAUCAUAGUCUGACAUUUUUGAUAACUAUCCCUUAUUUGAUUAAUAACGGAUUCUUGCAAUACAUUUGAGCAAUAAGUGCUAUACCCGCAUAUAAUAAAUUGGUCCAUUAAUCGGAGGUCCAGUUAAAAUCACUAAGUCAGCUUAAAUAAUGUUUCUUGAACAAAAAC
rnacentral:lncRNA from 1 species